AUUGAACGCUGGCGGCAGGCCUAACACAUGCAAGUCGAGCGGAGCGGCGGACGGGUGAGUAAUGUCUGGGUAACUGCCUGAUGGAGGGGGAUAACUAAUGGAAACGGUAGCUAAUACCGCAUACUAUCAGCUGAGCCUAGGUCGGCUUAGCUAGUUGGUGGGGUAAAGGCCUACCAAGGCGACGAUCCGUAACUGGUCUGGGAGGAUGGUCAGUCACGCUGGAACUGAAACACGGUCCAGACUCCUACGGUAGGCAGGAGUGGGGAAUAUUGGACAAUUGGCGAAAGCCUGAUACAGCCAUGCCGAGUGUGUGAAGAAAGUCUUCGGAUUGUAAAGCACUUUAAGUUGGAAAGCGUUACCAACAGAAUAAGCACCGGCUAACUUCGUGCCAGCAGCCGCGGUAAUAC
rnacentral:rRNA from 1 species